rnacentral:tRNA from 1 species
UUCUGAAUCUGACAUGGUAAAGAACCUGCCUGCAAUGCAGGAGACCCAGGUUUGGUCCCUGGUUCAGGAA